GAGAGCAGGGUGAUCUCGAGUGGUAGUAAUAUUGUUUGUGUCUUCAAAACCCAAAUCUUCUUUAGACCUCAACAAGCUUUCCUUAAAAACUUCAUAUUUCUCCUGAAUUAUUUGCUUCUCUGCCAUGAACUCAUCACUUCUAUAGCUACUAUCGUCAUCUGAUGCUGAUGAGAAAUAGGCCUUUGGGCACCUAGUCUUGAUUCCAAACCU
rnacentral:misc_RNA from 1 species